AAAAUUAUAUUUUAAUAAAAUAUUUUAUUUACAUUAAAAAGAUGAUUGUUUAAUUCAAUUUAAUUUUA
rnacentral:tRNA from 1 species